UCAACAAUUGAAAUUUUGCUGCUGCUUUAGGCUUGCCUCUCUCAGUGUACAGUAUAUUUGCCACCGUGGAAGGCUGCGAGAUUGCACAAGAUUAUCAACUAGUUGUUGGACACCAGGUAACUCAGGAGAUUGCCGAAGAUGGCGGAAGCUCACCAAGCCGUGGCCUUCCAGUUCACUGUCACCCCAGACGGUAUCGACCUGCGGCUGAGCCAUGAAGCUCUUAAGCAAAUCUAUCUGUCUGGACUACAUUCCUGGAAGAAGAAGUUCAUCAGAUUCAAGAAAUAAGUGAUCUUCAAUUUGAAGGAUGCUGAGAGGGAUUCCUGGGUGGCGCAGCGGUUUGGCGCCUGCCUUUGGCCCAGGGCGUGAUCCUGCAGACCCGGGAUCGAAUCCCACGUCGGGCUCCCGGUGCAUGGAGCCUGCUUCUCCCUCUGCCUCUGUCUCUGCCUCUCUCUCUCUCUCUCUCUCUCUGUGACUAUCAUGAAUAAAUAAAAAAAUUAAAAAAAAAAAAUGAAGGAUGCUGAGAAAUGACCAAAUGCACUUAAGAAUUGGGACUUUUCAAACAAACACAAAAACACUAUUAAACACAAACACUCAAUCAUCCUAUUUCCACAUCACUGAGCUAGAACAUCCUCACAUCUCUAGAGAACGUAGUGAAGUCAACAGAACGAGCUGCUUCCUUGCACUAAAUACACAACAGGUCAGUCCAUGUGAGUCAUUCUGAGAAAUUUAAAGUAGACUUUUAAUUUAUAAAAGAGAGAUGCCUUCUAACUGUACAUCCUCGAUGUACAUCCUUCUACUGUAACAACCUCGAUCAGAAAAGAACACACAAAGGUUCUUACCUGUAUUGCUGGCUGGACUGGGGGCUGAUCCGCCAAAGAGGACCUCUAUGAGUGAGGACGCGGGGCCAGAAUGGUACUUCUUUAGUGUUAUCAGAGCCCUGCCAACAGAGUAGAAUUAGGAGUGUGGUGAACACCAAAUAUUGAAUCUGUGCCCAACCCUCUGCCCAGCAAAGGCCACCUGCAGCCUCCAUAUCCCGUGAGGGGCCCACACAGACUCCACACUCAACACAAUUGCUCUCUUCUACCCACAGAGGCAAGCAGUCAGGGUAAGUGUGCAGUACUGGAAGAAAAUAGGAUGCCUGCGUGGCUCAGUAUGUGAUCCCAGAGUCCUGGGAUCGAGUCCUGCAUCAGGCUUCCCAUAGGGAGCCUGCUUCUCCCUCUGCCUAUGUCUCCGCCUCUCUGUCUCUCAUGAAUAAGCAAAAUCUUAAAAAAAAAAAAAAAAAGAAAAGAAAAAAAAAGAAAAAGAAACUUGAUUCCCAGUCACACAAACUCUUACUUUUUCAGUCGCUUGUAAGUGAUGUCAUUGGCAAGUUUUAACAGUCUGUAGGCCCGCUCCCGGUCCCGGUCCAAGCUCAGCUGGAAAUCAUGAGACGCAUCAAAGGCUACUGUGACUGAUCUCUGUGUGAUCCGUGUCAGGAUCCCUGUGGCCAGCUGAUUGCCUUCAUCAUACAGACCCACUAUAUCGCCUAUAGAAGCAAAAAGUUACACAUACGCUGUGCACAGUAUUUCAAAUAUCCUAUCCCUCUUGUCUUUAGAAAUGCAAAAAAAAAAAAAAAAAA